rnacentral:lncRNA from 1 species
AGGUUUACUGCCGAGAGGCAAACUAAAGUAUGGGUUCAUAUGGAAUUUGCAGAUCCCACUAAAAUUGUGUUAACAAACAAUCAGCAAUAAGAAAAGUUGAAUAUCUACUAUAUGCUAGGUACUAUGAUGGGCACCUGGAAGAUAGAAAGACAAGGAAGACAACCAGAACAUUCAGCCCAGUCAGAAGUAAAGCAAGGUUGGGUCAUCAACAUCAUCGAAUCAAUGGCUGGAAAUGAAUGGAGAGGUGGUCUCAUUCUGCUCUCUGCUUGGCACCCAGCUUUGG